rnacentral:rRNA from 1 species
CACGUAGGGCGCAAGCGUUGUCCGGAAUUAUUGGGCGUAAAGGGCUCGUAGGCGGUUUGUCGCGUCGGGAGUGAAAUCAUCUGGCUUAACUGGGUGCUUGCUUUCGAUACGGGCAGACUAGAGGUAUGCAGGGGAGAACGGAAUUCCUGGUGUAGCGGUGAAAUGCGCAGAUAUCAGGAGGAACACCGGUGGCGAAGGCGGUUCUCUGGGCAUGACCUGACGCUGAGGAGCGAAAGUGUGGGGAGCGAACAGG